ACAGUACUUGGAUGCUGAUUUUUUUAGUGAGAAUGUGGCUUAGCCCUGUCACCCCUUAUAGAGGUAAUGGUAUGUUCUCCCCCUCCUCCUUUUAUUUCCUUAUAAGCUACCCAGAAGAGAGAUGCUGGGUGGAAGAAUGUUCUGUUGAGAGUGAGUGAGAAAAGGGGUGCCCAUCCAGCCAUCUGUUACAUCUUGCUACACAAAGGGGGGGCUUCUAGAUCUAGGUAAAUAUGACAGAAGUGGAGCCAGUUCUGGACUUUUCCUCUUCUGCACGGGCAGGUCGUAGAAAUGCACUGCCUGAUAUACUGGGGUCACCAGCAGGGGUCGCACCUUCUGACCUCCCACUUAAACUAGCAGAAAUGUCUCUAAAUACAGAUCUGCAGUCUCCCACUGCUGAGUCACCGCAGCAACCAACUGACAGCCCUGAAUUAAAGGACACAUCCUAAUAAUUUAGCGGCCCAACUGGAGAGAGUAUUUUUUUCUGCAACCAAGCUGGAGAGGAUCAUGCAAAGGUCUAAGAAGAUUUGUUCAAAUCAACCAGCCUUUUAACACCAUAGGAACCUGACAAGAAAGGGGAGCAAUGGAUUGUCAGAUAUGAUGGGAUUGGGGGAGAAGCACUGGUUAAAACGAGCACUCACUCACUCUCUGAAUAUGUGUUUUGCUUGAACACGUUAAUAUUAGUCGUAGGAUUGGAGAAUUACAUAAAAACAAUUUAAAAAUACAGCGUAUGUCAAAAUUCACUGCGGGCACAAUAUCCGCAUGUGUAUGAAUGUAGGUAUUAUAUUUAUAUACAUGAGUACAGUUAAUGUUAUCCCUUUGAUAGUCCUAAGUGUCUGUGUAAUCUGGUCUUUGUGUGCAUAUUCUGCAUUUCUUGAUUAACUGUGUAACAAAGAAAGGGGUUAUAACAAAUCUUGCAAAGUUUCACCGAAAUUAUCCUCGUCAGUUGAUUAAUGAAAUAAAACCAUGGUGUUAAAACCCUGCAAAUAUUUAGGUAAAUGCAGGGUGCUAUGUGGCUUUUUAAGCUGAGACCUCAUGAAACACAGGGAAAAGUUAGAUGAAACCUGCAAGACAGGUGGUUAUCUGAGUAGACAUUAUGAGGCUCAGGUUUUUAAAGCAAAACAGAAGCAGAACUAUAGAGGAAGCAGAGCAGUGCCUGGUAUUGAUGUGGGGCCCAGGAGGUAUACUGGGCCCAGUGAGGGCACUGACUAAUAAGCAGUUUCUAUAUACAAUUGUGAAAAAUCUCAUUGCUAAUUAUCAGGGGGGGGGGGGCUAAAAUGAUUACUAUGGGACCCAGCUAUAGUGUAUGCCACUGGAAAAAAACAUUAUUUAAGUAGGAAACACAUUGCAGUUUUAUCCAAGGAAAGAAACAUGAUGUUACAAUAUCACUGAAAGAAAUGAUAAAGGCAGUGAGGUAGGUAAAGGGAUGGGGAAGCUUCUAGCAGAGAACAACGGCAGUACAGGAUGCAGUGUGUGUAUGUGUGAGAAGACCGUUUUAAUUAAAUGGAGAAAAACAGGCAGAGAAGGUGCUGAAAAGACAAUAGGGAUGAGAAUGAGGGGCACAUGGGUAGGACUAAAUGGGGAUCACCAUAGAAGUCAUAAUUAGAAAUAUAUGUGCAAUGGAAACAGUGUUUCCUCAGUGCAAACAAUUUUGUUUUUUUUUUGGUGUGAAUUUAAUUAACUGAAUCAUCUGCCCGUGGAAAAAAUACUGCACAUUAUUUUUGUCUUGUGUGCAGUGUAUUAAGUAUGAACAAUUUAACAUUUCAAAAUGGGAAUUCGAGUUUUAAUUAUGCACAUUAUUUUUCUGUGUAUGACUUUCUGUACUUUCCACCAUUACAGUCCUACAAGGUAGAGGCAGCUUGCAAGGCAGAUCUACAUGACAGUGUCAAGACAUUCAACAUUCAGAUAUUUUUAUUAAGAUACAUAGAGAAAGGAGCAGUAAAGGAUAUUUGGAAAAUUACUAUGGCUAAUUUUCUUCCUUUCUGCCAUAUCUCAAGCUAUACAUUUUAGAACACAGAAUUGUCUUAAAAAUCCUCAAGGUGCAUUCCAUUAAUCCUACUGCUGACAGACAUUUUUAUAUCUUAUGAAUUAAAAACAUGUAUUUCACAGUUUCUAGUAAUUGCAAAGCCACAUGUCUGCAAGUGAAGAAAAGUACAAUUUCUUAUAAAUAAACAGAUUUCUCAUG